rnacentral:rRNA from 1 species
GACGAACGCUGGCGGCGUGCUUAACACAUGCAAGUCGAACGGAAAGGCCCUGCUUUUGUGGGGUGCUCGAGUGGCGAACGGGUGAGUAACACGUGAGUAACCUGCCCUUGACUUUGGGAUAACUUCAGGAAACUGGGGCUAAUACCGGAUAGGAGCUCCUGCUGCAUGGUGGGGGUUGGAAAGUUUCGGCGGUUGGGGAUGGACUCGCGGCUUAUCAGCUUGUUGGUGGGGUAGUGGCUUACCAAGGCUUUGACGGGUAGCCGGCCUGAGAGGGUGACCGGCCAUAUUGGGACAGAGAUACGGCCCAGACUCCUACGGGAGGCAGCAGUGGGGAAUAUUGCACGAUGGGCGGAAGCCUGAUGCAGCAACGCCGCGUGCGGGAUGACGGCCUUCGGGUUGUAAACCGCUUUCGCCUGUGACGAAGCGUGAGUGACGGUAAUGGGUAAAGAAGCACCGGCUAACUACGUG